rnacentral:lncRNA from 1 species
CCGUGGCAUGUCAGGUUUUUCAUCUUUUUGAAUCAUCGCUUUAUAAAAUCAAGAUCUCUUAUAAAAAGAACACCCACCUCUCACACCAAGGAGUAAAUGAGCUCUGCUGGGCACAGUGCAUCGUAUACAACGUGCUCAAUAAAUGGUAGGCGGAAGAGGCGGUCAGACUAAGCAGAACCAUGGAUGGAAACUCCUACAAGUCUGUGACCCGGUUUCCAAGAAGAAGAGUUUGGAGCUGAAAGAACAACAUAGCAACAUUCCCAUGAUGACUACAGGUCUACAUUCGGUUGGAAAGAAUUUUGACCCGCGCAUCAGGGGAGAGCUUGACAGAACGCUUUCCCAGUAAAGAAACCCAGGGCUAAGUGGACAGGUCCAACCCACUUAGCCUCAUCUUCGGACCCAUUAUUGCAUCAGUCUUGUCUCAAGGAAUCCUGGAGACCUGGCCUAAGAUCACUGGCAGCUCUAGCUGGAGCUCAGAAUUGUGACCCAUGGGGCUUGGAGUCCAAUAGACCCUGGUUCAGAUCUUAAUUUCUCUAAGCCUCAGUUUCUUCCUGUGUGAAAGUAAUCGUAACAAUGGUCUCCUUGCAAGACUGCCGUGAGGAUUAAAUGCGGUAUUGUGUCCGAAAGCAUUUAACACAGUGCCUGUUACUUGAAAUGGGAUUAAUAUGUUUUAGCCUCCUUCCUUCCGCUCAGCUCCCCCAGCUGCUGGUGUAGCUCCUCUCCCUGCUGCAUACGUCUGACGUAGUGGAAUCGGGCCAGUACACUUGAGGGGAUCCCAUCGUAGCAAGAAUGAAUAGAGAGAGAUAAGACCAAGUUAAACAAUGUCCAGAACAGCAAUAUGCACUUUUAAAUGGUGGGAAUAUAAACUGAGUGGGCUCCACCGACCUUUGAAAGCCUCCAAAUAGAUAAACGUGUGGUUGUGUGACUGCUUCCUAGACCUGAACACAGCCAGCAAAAUUUGCAUGUGAAGAUCGUUGCCUGGGGAGUUUUUUCUUAAAAAUCUAACACCGUAGAGGCCAUCAUAGACUUCCUUUGAUCUUAAUGAUGUGACUGAGUUGCCCAGUGUAUCAAUAAAUCGCCUGGAUAGUUUGCUCA